rnacentral:rRNA from 1 species
GAUGAACGCUAGCGGCAGGCUUAACACAUGCAAGUCGAGGGGUAUAGGUUUUCGGACCUAGAGACCGGCGCACGGGUGCGUAACGCGUAUGCAAUCUACCUUUCACAGAGGGAUAGCCCAGAGAAAUUUGGAUUAAUACCUCAUAGUAUAGCAGUUUCGCAUGAAACCACUAUUAAAGUAUCAACGGUGAAAGAUGAGCAUGCGUCCCAUUAGCUAGAUGGUAAGGUAACGGCUUACCAUGGCUACGAUGGGUAGGGGUCCUGAGAGGGAGAUCCCCCACACUGGUACUGAGACACGGACCAGACUCCUACGGGAGGCAGCAGUGAGGAAUAUUGGUCAAUGGACGCAAGUCUGAACCAGCCAUGCCGCGUGCAGGAUGACGGUCCUAUGGAUUGUAAACUGCUUUUGUACGAGAAGAAACAACAUUACGUGUAAUGUCUUGACGGUAUCGUAAGAAUAAGGAUCGGCUAACUCCAUGCCAGCCGCCGCCGUAACAC